rnacentral:lncRNA from 1 species
UGCUAAACAGCAAGUUGUAAAUACAGUAUGCUUGGGAAUGUCUACCUGGCAGAAAUCUGUCACUAGGUGGCUGAACACUGUGACUACAGACAACUGGCAAGAAGAAAAACCUUCCUGUUAGAAUCCAGUAGUGCAUGAGGCUCCUUGUUAAGGGGCUGUGUCCCUUGGUGACAAAGAAUGAAACCAGAUCUGGAGGAGGCAGAGUGUCAGAAAAUUUAUUGAACAGAUUAAAGUUGGCAAAAAGAAAAGCCAAGGUGAUAUCCUGCAUUUUGCUCUUCUUUAGGAAAAUAUCAGCUUCUUGA